rnacentral:rRNA from 1 species
AGUGAACGCUGGCGGUAUGCCUAACACAUGCAAGUCGAACGGCAGCACAGUAAGAGCUUGCUCUUACGGGUGGCGAGUGGCGGACGGGUGAGGAAUACAUCGGAAUCUACUUUUUCGUGGGGGAUAACGUAGGGAAACUUACGCUAAUACCGCAUACGACCUACGGGUGAAAGCAGGGGAUCUUCGCACCUUGCGCGAUUGAAUGAGCCGAUGUCGGAUUAGCUAGUUGGCGGGGUAAAGGCCCACCAAGGCGACGAUCCGUAGCUGGUCUGAGAGGAUGAUCAGGCAAACUGGAACUGAGACACGGUCCAGACUCCUACGGGAGGGAGCAGUGGGGAAUAUUGGACAAUGGGCGCAAGCCUGAUCCAGCCAUACCGCGUGGGUGAAGAAGGCCUUCGGGUUGUAAAGCCCUUUUGUUGGGAAAGAAAAGCAGCAGGUUAAUACCCCGCUGUUCUGACGGUACCCAAAGAAUAAGCACCGGCUAACUUCGUG